UGGGGAAUAUUGCACAAUGGGCGAAAGCCUGAUGCAGCGACGCCGCGUGAGGGAUGAAGGCCUUCGGGGUUGUAAACCUCUUUCAAGCAGGGAAGAAGCGCAAGUGACGGGUACCUGCAGAAGAAGCGCCGGCUAACUACGUGCCAGCAGCCGCGGUAAUACGUAGGGCGCAAGCGUUGUCCGGAAUUAUUGGGCGUAAAGAGCUCGUAGGCGGUUUGUCGCGUCUGGUGUGAAAACUCGAGGCUCAACCUCGAGCUUGCAUCGGGUACGGGCAGACUAGAGUGCGGUAGGGGAGACUGGAAUUCCUGGUGUAGCGGUGGAAUGCGCAGAUAUCAGGAGGAACACCGAUGGCGAAGGCAGGUCUCUGGGCCGCAACUGACGCUGAGGAGCGAAAGCAUGGGGAGCGAACAGGAUUAGAUACCCUGGUAGUCCAUGCCGUAAACGUUGGGCACUAGGUGUGGGGCUCAUUCCACGAGUUCCGUGCCGCAGCAAACGCAUUAAGUGCCCCGCCUGGGGAGUACGGCCGCAAGGCUA
rnacentral:rRNA from 1 species